rnacentral:rRNA from 1 species
UGAUGUUAGCGGCGGACGGGUGAGUAACACGUGGGUAACCUGCCUGUAAGACUGGGAUAACUCCGGGAAACCGGGGCUAAUACCGGAUGGUUGUUUGAACCGCAUGGUUCAAACAUAAAAGGUGGCUUCGGCUACCACUUGCAGAUGGACCCGCGGCGCAUUAGCUAGUUGGUGAGGUAAUGGCUCACCAAGGCAACGAUGCGUAGCCGACCUGAGAGGGUGAUCGGCCACACUGGGACUGAGACACGGCCCAGACUCCUACGGGAGGCAGCAGUAGGGAAUCUUCCGCAAUGGACGAAAGUCUGACGGAGCAACGCCGCGUGAGUGAUGAAGGUUUUCGGAUCGUAAAGCUCUGUUGUUAGGGAAGAACAAGUGCCGUUCGAAUAGGGCGGUACCUUGACGGUACCUAACCAGAAAGCCACGGCUAACUACGUGCCAGCAGCCGCGGUAAUACGUAGGUGGCAAGCGUUGUCCGGAAUUAUUGGGCGUAAAGGGCUCGCAGGCGGUUUCUUAAGUCUGAUGUGAAAGCCCCCGGCUCAACCGGGGAGGGUCAUUGGAAACUGGGGAACUUGAGUGCAGAAGAGGAGAGUGGAAUUCCACGUGUAGCGGUGAAAUGCGCAGAGAUGUGGAGGAACACCAGUGGCGAAGGCGACUCUCUGGUCUGUAACUGACGCUGAGGAGCGAAAGCGUGGGGAGCGAACAGGAUUAGAUACCCUGGUAGUCCACGCCGUAAACGAUGAGUGCUAAGUGUUAGGGGGUUUCCGCCCCUUAGUGCUGCAGCUAACGCAUUAAGCACUCCGCCUGGGGAGUACGGUCGCAAGACUGAAACUCAAAGGAAUUGACGGGGGCCCGCACAAGCGGUGGAGCAUGUGGUUUAAUUCGAAGCAACGCGAAGAACCUUACCAGGUCUUGACAUCCUCUGACAAUCCUAGAGAUAGGACGUCCCCUUCGGGGGCAGAGUGACAGGUGGUGCAUGGUUGUCGUCAGCUCGUGUCGUGAGAUGUUGGGUUAAGUCCCGCAACGAGCGCAACCCUUGAUCUUAGUUGCCAGCAUUCAGUUGGGCACUCUAAGGUGACUGCCGGUGACAAACCGGAGGAAGGUGGGGAUGACGUCAAAUCAUCAUGCCCCUUAUGACCUGGGCUACACACGUGCUACAAUGGACAGAACAAAGGGCAGCGAAACCGCGAGGUUAAGCCAAUCCCACAAAUCUGUUCUCAGUUCGGAUCGCAGUCUGCAACUCGACUGCGUGAAGCUGGAAUCGCUAGUAAUCGCGGAUCAGCAUGCCGCGGUGAAUGCGUUCCCGGGCCUUGUACACACCGCCCGUCACACCACGAGAGUUUGUAACACCCGAAGUCGGUGAGGUAACCUUUUAGGAGCCAGCCGCCGAAGGUGGGACAGAUGAUUGGGGUGAAGUCGUAACAAGGU